rnacentral:rRNA from 1 species
AUUGAACGCUGGCGGCAUGCCUUACACAUGCAAGUCGGACGAGUGGCGGACGGGUGAGUAAUAUAUGGGAACGUGCCGAGUGGUGGGGGAUAACUAAUCGAAAGAGUAGCUAAUACCGCAUACUAUUCGAGCGGCCGAUAUGGGAUUAGCUUGUUGGUGGGGUAAAGGCCCACCAAGGCGACGAUCCUUAGCGGGUCUGAGAGGAUGACCAGCCACACUGGAACUGAGACACGGCCCAGACUCCUACGGGAGGCAGCAGUGGGGAAUAUUGCACAAUGGGCGCAAGCCUGAUCCAGCCAUGCCGCGUGUCUGAAGAAGGCCUUCGGGUUGUAAAGGACUUUUGUCAGGGAGGCGGUACCUGAAGAAUAAGCACCGGCUAACUCCGUGCCAGCAGCCGCGGUAAUAC